AGACGGAGUAGUCCCAGAGCAGUUCUAUGAUGAACUAAGGAUUUUCUAUACAGGGUGGGGUGGAGGAAAAGACCCGCUUCCUGAAGGAUUGAUUUAUGAAGGCGUAUACGGAGACCAACCCACAUCGAUGAAAGGAGGAAGUGCUGCGCAAAGCACAACACUACAGAUGCUGGACGCGGCACUUGGCAUCACACACGAGGGAGGU